rnacentral:lncRNA from 1 species
AGGAUUUAUGUUACCCCCACUUCAAAUAAAAAGUACCGAGGAAUGCAUUUCAUUACUGCCCUGUGACACUGGAGAAGCCAGGGCUGCAGUUGUAAUAUUCCUCAUUUGUUUGUGUCACACAGAAGAUUUAUUUGUAGGAAGAAUCUACCUCCAAAGAAAAUGAAUAGUCAAUACAUACGUCAUGAAGUACGGGGAUGUGAAACUAGUGACCUGAGAAACUUCUGGGAAAAGACUAUUGAACAACAAACUCGGUAUCUGCAAAUUGAGAAAGAACGUCAGCGAAGAAGCGCUCUGACAAAGCUCAGAAAUGAAUGGAUGGAGAGGCUGGAAAAACAGAUAAAAAUGUUGAGGACCCAACCUGAAGACCCAUCUAGCUGAAGAUCCAACGUUCAUUACACGUUGGGAGCUAAAAACAAAAAUUGUUUUGUAGGAGAAAAUGAUAGUGUGAUGCAAAAGCUUAAGCUAGUUUUACUUCAUGGCUUAAAUGAGUUAUAAUUAAUUAGCUGUCAUUGUUAGAAAUUUCAUAUGUGAAAUAUCUACUGCUGCUUUUAAGAUUAUUUAUUUAUCCCCUCACUUGAUGAAAAGAGGUUAAAGCACUCCCAAGUGUUCAAGAUUAAUAAAUCAUGGUUCAUUGAGCUAUAGAUGCCUGGA